rnacentral:rRNA from 1 species
GAUGAACGCUGGCGGCGUGCCUAAUACAUGCAAGUCGAGCGAAAGGACGAGAAGCUUGCUUCUCUGAUGUUAGCGGCGGACGGGAGAGUAACACGUGGAAAACCUACCUAUAAGACUGGGAUAACUACGGGAAAGCGGAGAUAAUACGGGAUAAUAUUCUGAAGCGUAUGGGUGAAAAGAGAAAGACGGCGUUGGUGUAACGUAUAGAUGGAUCCGAGCUGCAUUGGCUAGUUGGUAAGGUAACGGGUUACCAAGGCAAGGAUGCAUAGCCGAGCUCAGAGGCUGGUCGGCCACCCUGGAACUUAGACACGCUCCAUACUCCUGCGAGAGGCCGCAGUCGCGUAUCUUCCGCAGUGGUCGGAAGCCUUACGGAGCGACGCCGCGUGAGUGAUGAAGGUCUUCGGUUCGUAAAACUCUGUUUUUAGUUAAGAACAUAUGUGUACUUUACUGUGCACAUCUUGACGGUACCUAAUCAGAAAGCCCCGGCUAACUACGUG